ACUGAGAACUGCCAUGGCCUACCUGCUGAACAGCUUUCCUUACAUUGACCAGACUUGAUGGUGCCCUUUUCCAGGACCUUUUCCUUCUUGGUAAAACGGUAAAAGCUAUGAGCUCUCAGGAAAAAUUAUAGUGCCGUUCCCAACACCUGGCAUUUGGGAUAAAGAAAUGAAUUAUAUAAACUAUCUGAAUUCCAAGAAAAACAACAAGCAAGGAAGUCCAGAUGCUUCUGAGAGGCUCCCAGCUCCUGAUUCCAUAUGUGGAAAUCUCAGAUCAAGGCUAUCUCUUCAGUAAACCUACUCAACCCCUACCCAAGACUCAAGGAGCUUUCCCAUUGACCACGUAUUUCUUCCCUUUUUAUACUAAGACAGAAGACCAGCUUCCUACUCCCCAUGUCUGAUCACUUCAUCCUCUGUGUUCUCCCUCUCAAAUGGCUGUUUAUAAUGCAUUAGAGGCCAAUUAGUAAACCCUAGUGGUACUGAAGGAAUAUCUGAGGUGCAGUUGAUGUCCGGACAACACUUGUGACAUCACAGAAGAAGCUAGGGCUCUCCAGGAUACAAUAGAUUUUUCAGGGAGGGCCUAAUGUUGAUGUCACUGAGAAGCACCAUGGCCUACCUCUAAACAGCUUUCUUUACAUUGACCAGUUUUGAGAGUGCCUUUUCCAGGAUAAAUAAAAGUUUAAGAAGCUGAACAGCCAAAGAGGAAUCUCAAUCCCACCUGAGAGGGAGAAGAAAUGAAACACAGGAGGUUAAAUGGAUGUUUGUAUGUGACUGAAAAUACAUGGAAGAUACCUGUAUCCCAACACUGACACAAUAUUCUCUAUUGCUGUCUUAUCCCAUAAAAAUCUUUCUGAGAGUGGUUUAAGUAUGUUGGAAGAUAUGCCAAUGAUUCUUUAAGUAAUAAAACCAAUAAAACCAGCUGUUUAUUUUUC